AUUGAACGCUGGCGGCAGGCUUAACACAUGCAAGUCGAGCGAGUGGCGGACGGGUGAGUAAUGCUUGGGAAUCUGGCUGAUGGAGGGGGAUAACUACUGGAAACGGUCGCUAAUACCGCAUACCAUCGGAUGAACCCAUUGGGGAUUAGCUAGUUGGUGUGGUAAGGGCCUACCAAGGCGACGAUCUCUAGCUGGUCUGAGAGGAUGACCAGCCACACCGUGACGAUGACACGGCCCGGACUCCUACGGGAGGCAGCAGUGGGGAAUAUGGCGCAAUGGGGGCAAGUCGGACGCAGCCAUGCCGCGUGAAUGAAGAAGGCCUUAGGGUUGUAAAGUUCUUUCGGUGGAGAGGCGUUAACCACAGAAGAAGCACCGGCUAACUCCGUGCCAGCAGCCGCGGUAAUUC
rnacentral:rRNA from 1 species